AGCGGCGGCUCCGCCGCCCCAUCCGCCCAACCCCGUCCCCCCGCUGGCCCCGGCGGCGGGGCCGGGCCGGCCGGAGCCCCGCGCUGGCCGCUCACCUGGGCGGAUUUCCUGCAGGGUCCGGACUGCAGGAACCGGGCGAUCAGAUAUCCCGGCCCGAGGCAGCCGCCGAGCAGGGUGUAGCGCUACCGCCCGCCGCUAGGGGGCGGCUGUCCAGACAGGGGAAAGCCUAAGCGGAAGGAAGGACGGACGGACGGAUCGGGGGACGUGCUAGGACAGCGGGACGACGCUCUGAUACGAGUCUUCCGGAAACUGGGUGAUGCCGCGGCCCUGUGCGGCUUCCGGGUCUGCGUCCUGCGCGCUGUGACUUGGUCCCUCCCCCCGCGGGGGCGAUGCUGAGGCCCGCCAUUGUAACCCCUGGCACACAGCGCCCCCUGCCCGCCGGCUGCCCUGUGGCCGGCUGAUGUACUGCCCGGACGGCCGUCCUCGUGCUGGGCCUCCUCGACCGCGCCCAGCCAGGAGAUCGGGCUGAGCCGCCCCAGCGCAGCCUGACCGAGCUGCCUGUGAAACCCGGUUCGGAAUCCUGGGGCCGGCUGCACCCAGGGGAGGCCUUUAAGGUCAGAGGCGGUGCCUGCCCAGCGGGGGCUCUAAGCAGGACCACUCCCCCCCCCCCUAAACAUAGGCUUUAAGGCGAGAAGGAACCAUCCUGUUCAUCUAUCCGCAGCACGCCCAUAACCUCUGGCUGAUGAGCCACCAUUUAUUCUAGUGCAAUCCAGCCAGUGACCUAAGUGUAUUCUUUCCCGGGCCAGACAAUCCAUCAACUCAGCACUUAUGUACACAAGUUAAAAAGCCCACAUUAACUAAGAUGAAUGGUAUUUUGAGGAGUAGUACUAAAUGGGGGAGUGGGGGCUUAGCUGCCUAGGUCCUAAGCAAUUGCUUAGUCUGCUUAUGCCUAAUGUCAUGACUGCUUAAAUUAAAGGAGCCUUAUCUCUAAGCAUUUUACAAAGUAUGUAUAAUAUUUUAAGCACCUCUGGUAUAAGAGGCAGGUAUUUCAAGCACUGGGGUACAGAUUAAGUGUGAUUACAGAAGUACAUUACAAUCCUGCUGCCAACACAAGGAAGUAGUUAAGAAAGAGUGAGGCCAAGAACAGACGUUACUCAGCCCUUAACAUAUAAGACUGAAAUUCAUGAGAUUCAAUUAUUGUUCUACUUUACUAUUAUGUGAGUUAGAGGUGGAAAAAAGUAUUAGGUCAUCUAGUCUAGGCAACCCGAAAAGAGGUAAAGUUUAGCUGCAAUGGUAACAGCAGUCCAAAGUAAUAGGGAUUACUUUUACGGCUGUGAUGCCUGUUUUUGUAUGUAGUGUUGUAGAUGUGUCGGUUCCAAGAUAUUAGAGAGACAAGGUGGGUGAGGUAAUAUAAUUUAUUGGACCAACUUCUGUUGGCAAGAGAUACAAGUUUUUGAGCUUAUACAUUUGUGUCUCUCACCAACAGAAGUUGGUCCAAUAAAAGAUAUUACCUCACCCACCUUGUCAUGCUUAUUUUUGUUGUUUGACUGGUUACCAAAUAGUUGCUACUGAUAAGCAGGGCUUUGAAGACAAUGUCUGAUCAUUUGAUAGCAUGAAUACAGCAGCCAUUUGGAAAUAAGUAUUAAUUUUAAAAAAUAAUGUGCAUUGUUCAUGAUUCAAAGUUUUCUUAAACUAAGAUGUACAAUAUGCAUGUUAGUGUUUUCUAAUGACAUAUAAAGAACUUAAAUAGACCUAUAAAUAAUACCAGUAUAUGUUUGUAGUGAUUUACUCUCUGCUAUAACUAUUAAAUAAAGGUAUUCAAACAGCUCAGUGGUUUGAGCAUUAGCCUACUAAACCCAGGGUUGUGAGCUCAAUCCUUGAGGGGGCCAUUUAGGGAUCUGGGGCAAAAAUCUGUCUGGGGAGUGGUCCUGCUUUGAGCAAGGGGGUUGGACUAGAGGACCUCCUGAGGUCCCUUCUAACCCCAGUAUUCUAUGAUUCUCCAUAAAAUGUUCAAAUUUGGGAGCCUAUAGAUAGGUACCAAAAUAAAUGAUCUGAUCAUCAGAAGUGCUGUGCACUCAUUCCUCCUGUUGGAGUAAGUAGGACCUGGACACUAAAAGUGUUCAGCUGUUUUGAAGUUCAGACCAGUUUCAGUCCUGCAGUUGGAUCAAUGUGGGCCAACCCCUGAAGUCAAUGAGAUUCCAUGUAGGCACCAGGUUCCGCCUACCCUCAUCCAGUUCCAGGAUCAGGGCCACAGGCUUGCAACCGUCAGAGGAAGAAAGCAGUAGCAACCAACUUAAAGAUCCUCAAGGACAGCAGAUCAUUUUUCAUAGGAAACAUGGCUUGGCAAAGCUUCAGAAAAUGACUCUGCCGUACCAAAAGAUGUCAAAACCUGAUAGCUUUAUAUUUUUAUGAGGUUGCCAAAAUGUAUCAUUCUGUGAGAUUAAAUGACAGCUAUUCACUA